UGACCAAGCUCAUUGCUGCCGGAGACUCCAUGUUCAUUAGGGGAAAAUCUCUAGGGGUUUUUUUCUUAUUUGAACAAUUACCAUGAGCAAAUCAGAGUGUUUAAAGCAGGCUUUUAAGCUUGAAUGUGUUAGCAUGGAAUAAUGAAAUAUGACUUUAGUCCUAUUUUCGUUGGUUUAGGUACUUCAGUAAUGAUGAAUAGAAACGGUUAGGGGCAUUUGUAUUUGGUCGCUAGAGGUGAAAUUCUUGGAUUGACCGAAGACAAACUACUGCGAAAGCAUUUGACCCGGGACGUUUUCAUUGAUCAAGGUCUAAAGUUAAGGGAUCGAAGACGAUUAGAUACCGUCGUAGUCUUAACCACAAACUAUGCCGACUAGAGAUUGGGCGUGUUUAUUAUGACUCGCUCAGCAUCUUAGCGAAAGUAAAGUUUUUGGGUUCUGGGGGGAGUAUGGGACGCAAGGCUGAAACUUAAAGGAAUUGACGGAAGGGCACCACCAGGAGUGGAGCCUGCGGCUUAAUUUGACUCAACACGGGGAAACUCACCAGGUCCAGACAUAGUAAGGAUUGACAGAUUGAAAGCUCUUUCUAGAUUCUAUGGGUGGUGGUGCAUGGCCGUUCUUAGUUCGUGGAGUGAUUUGUCUGGUUAAUUCCGAUAACGAACGAGACCUUAUUCUGCUAAUUAGACAGGCCAACUCUUUCGGGUUGGUCUAUAUUAUAUAUUUCACUGGCUUCUUAGAGAGACUAUCGG
rnacentral:rRNA from 1 species